GCCGCCUGCCGGCGGCGGCGACCGCGAGGCUGGCGCGGGACGAUGGAGUCGACCGACGGACGCUGCAGGCGUGUGCCUAUGACAGAGCCGUUGGGGCGGAGCGGGGACGGUGGCCUUGGAGCGGAGCACGCGUGGGUUGCCGGUGGCCACACCGGGCGGAGAGCCCCCUCGGCUCCCCGGCGGCCGGAGCGUCUUUCGAUGCCCUGCGGCCGGCACGUCUGUGGCAGCCGGCGGGCUCCGACGCGUUCGGGAACCGAGGGAUCUCCGCCUGCGCCGUGGGCGAUGACGCCGCGCCCAUCUUCCGGAACAAGCUCAUCGCCGUCGUCGGCGGCACGGACUCGGCCAUGGAGGAGGCCAACUUUCUCACCAAGUAUGGCUCGCGCGUCUACAUCAUCCACCGCCACGACGCCUUCCACGCCUCCAAGAUCAUGCAGGCCCACGCUCUCUCCAACCCCAAAAUCCAGGUCGUAUGUGCAUACGAAGUUCAGACAAUUCUUAAUAUUCAUCUCCUCCACAAGUCAAGAUCCAUCUAAUAAUGCCACUAUUCACAAGCCUUGAUGUGGUCACGAUUCUCCAACAUCGAAAAGAAUAAUGCACAAAUGUCUCACCAGAGGCCCCUUUCUCAACUUCACUAUGCAGAUUUCAGUUUAAAUUUUCUUACUGUGGAAUGGGAUAUUUGGAUGACAGAGUAUGCUUCCAAAAGAUUUUUUUGUUUCUUCACAAAAUUUAUAUGUUAGAAAUUGACAUGCCUGCAGUAUUUUUUUAACAUGAUAAAUGAAGGGCAUACGAUGGAACCAAGAAUUUAUGCAUUUUCAGUGCUGAUAACAGUAUGAUUGUUAUGGACCUGCUGACACGACUGCUGCCAACUGUCAGACGCGGAAGCUCAUGGAAAAGCAUCACCAUGGUGUUAAAAGAGAUAUUGUUCUCCAUGCCAUAUAUACCACAUGUUUUUCUGCUGAAGAUGAAAUGUGAGGAGGUUUGCUGCCACAGUAUACAUCUGCAUGGUUGUUCUUGAGCAAAUAUACCGUCUUUGUUGAUAAAUCUGAAUAUCUCCAUGCGAUAACUACAAGGCAUGAAUAUGACAGUGCACUGUCGCAUUUACAAGCCAUAUAGUUCAUCUAGCUGAGUGCUACAUCUCACCCAGCUUCUUCAAUGUGGCAGCCCAAUUAUUUAUUGGCAGCUUUUUUUUGCUUGCCGAGCCUGAUACCUACUUUGUAUCUCUCUCGGAUAUAUGUAGGUAUGUUGAAGAAAAUAUGCGCAUUUCGUGUGCAUGUCAACCUAAAAGUACUAGAGCAUUCCUGUUGUUCUUUGAUCAGCACCAGAUGUUCAUGUCCCUACAUGCCCUGUUAUCUAUCUAUUUCUUUUAGAGAAUGGAUACAUAAGAGAGACUUGCAACUCACAUACCUACAGUUCAGUUCGGUUGUGUUGUCUCCCAGGCAGUGCAUUUGAAAAUAAAAGGUCUACCUAUGAACACUUAUAUUUUAAUCGAUCUUCCUUGCCCAUUGAAACUAUGCUCGAAUUAUAGCUUAGCAGUAUUAGUUAUCUAUGUGCUACAAAAGCUUAAAUAUUUUUUAAUCCCAUUGUCAUUAGUCUAUAAUACCUUUUAUGUCAUUUCCAUGUGCGUUGAAGGUAUAAUAUUAUGUAGCAGAAUCAUGGAGGAGUUGGUUAUUUAUGACUGGUGUGACAAUCUCCCAAGGAGCACUGGGUAGUAAUGAUAUGGUGCUCGUGUACAUAGACCAUAUUUGUAUGCAUAAUAAGUAAAAUAUAUGUCAAUAUAUGUCUUUCCUUAAUCUAAAGUAAUCUCAUAAUUCUGCAGAAAAGAGAAUGGUGUUAAUGUAUUAUGGUUCCUAAAAUUAGUCUGUCUUUGGUCUGAAGGUUAAGAGGACGAGCCCAAUGUAGUACUCUGCAUGUCCAGCCAAUGACAUUGUGCUACCUUGGUCCAUAUUUGGUGUUCCUGGCAGUGCGAUCUAUAUUAGUCAUUACACCAAAGCUCUGAUUUUAUGGUAUGAUCUUAUAUAUUCAUAAUAUUCUUUUCAGUGCCAAUGCAAGAAGAUUGGUGUUGACUGUAACUGCGUUGGAAAAAAAACUCAUCCCCGUGUUGAUGCUUAUAAGUGCCCUAGGAGUUCAUAUAUAUCAGACGAGCUAAGGUCCAUGGUGCUUGGUUUGACAUUAUGUCUGCUAUUAUGGUAAAACAUCUGCUGGAAGAGUUAGCUGCCAUAUUUGGAUUGUACAUCAAUCAAGAGAGGCGGAAUGGAAGGUACAGUUCCUGGAAAAAGAGUAGAUCAGUUUAGGGAUCAGCUGAAGGAGGGGUCUAUUUACACCACUGAGAAAUUUGAUUUGUAUGAUCCUAGAAAGAGCUACAGGUCAGUGGAUCAUCCUUUGCGGAUCUUCUUUACUAUGAGGACUAUUCUGUCACAGGUGGUGCCGCCGUCGGAGCAUUUUUCCUAUGUAUACCUAUACUAUUGUCCCGUUUAGCAUGCUGUCAGAUUGCAUUGAUCAGAAUAACUUAUAUCCAGUAAGAAUACAGUCGUUUUGAUCAUUGAUUUAUUUGUGUAUCGUUUGUUUUCUUGGCAAAUUUUGUUGGGAUUUCUAUUUUCGUGCCCCUGGUUUGUUAGUUGUACUCAGUUUUCCCCAGCCUCUUAACUUUUCCUCAGUUUUCCCCUCCCUCUAGUUUGAAACCCCUCGCAGAGGCUCGGACGGGAGGGUUGCCGUCUGGUCAGAGGCCUUCUGUUACCGGUGACGGCUAGGGAGCCGCGGUGGUUUUGACUUGACCGUUGCUUUCGAAAUGUGUUGACUAUUGACUGGAAGAGCUGACCCAAAGCUUUCCCCUCCGCCCGAGACUGGAGGAGCUCACACACCGCCCCUCCGCCGCCACGCCAUCCUGCCCACCUACCUUAUGGCAUCGUCCGCCGCCGAGCCGGCCCCGCCCCCACCACCACCCCUGGGCUCCGCCUCCACCAGAUCUGGAUCUACCCCUGUCCUCUUUGUAAUUCCGUCUGGUGUGCCGACUAUUCCCGCCAGUGAUGUCUACGCCCCCUCCUUUUCCUGUAGACAGUGUUGGGCCUCCAAGAGCAGAGGUUUGUAGAACAGCAGCAAGUUUUCCCU